CCCAGUAUCACGCUAAAGCGUGUAAUAGACACGCUGGUCCACUAGAGGAUGCGUGUCAAUGUCACGCUUUGCCUCCUCUAGGCGUGAAAAUGACACGCAUUUAUGAGGAUGAUAACCAAUAGGGGGCGAUAAUUUCUUAUUGCCAACAACUUCAACAAGAGAAGCGACGCAGUGAUAUGCGUUCUCUGGAGCUCCAUGGGUAAGGCUUUCUUGGAAAUUUGGUGAUUAAUGUUACUAAAAUUGAGUAAAUCCUGUGUUUAUGUUAAGUCUUUGUUGCAACGUUAGCAAUAUAAUAUCACCGCUAAGGCAACAGACAAGUCAGUGCACGCGUUUGGUCAGAAUCCAAUUGGCUCAUAUUUAGGACAUAAUUGUUUGUUCAGGUGCGGUCAUUUAAGAAAUCCUGAAGUUGGUGCAGCAUAACAUUUAAUUUGCGUGUGUGGACUAUGGAGUUAUCUAUAGUGGUUUUUACGUUACUAAGGUCAGAAACAUUAUUGGAUGACUGUUUGAUAAUCAGCUAAUGUAUUAAUCACAGAAAGCUGCAGUGACUGCAUUGUAUUAUGUUGCUAAACAGUUGUUCUAGCGUUUUUAAACCAGUAGUUUUAUUAAUUUCGCGCGGAAUACAGUUCAUGAAAUAAGCUCUAAAUGAAAAAAAAUAACCGUUUUAAGUAAAUAAUUGUGUUCAUUGUAAAUCUGCUCAUCUAAACAUACAAGGCGGAACCAAUCGAUCACAGAGAGCGAUCGCUGCUGACACCGUCAGCAGCACUUACAUUCAGAUUACAAUAAUAUUUCACAUUAUUACAUUCAGAUUACAAUAAUAUUUCACAUUAUAAGUGUUUUUAUAUCAAAUAAAUGCAGCCUUGGUGAGCAGAAUACAUUUAUUUAAUUAUUUAAUAUUAUUUAUAUAAUAAGGCUAGUUUGUGCAGUUACAUUUAUGUCAAUUGAUCGUUAGAAGGGAUUAAAAUGGAUUGUGUUAUGUUCUGUAAUUGUUGUUAAUAAAUCUUUCAGAAGAAAGUGUGUAAAAGUUUGACUACAGUAACCAUAUCUAACCAAGCUUCAUGUACCAAGAUAAUUAUUUCAAUUAUUUCUCAUCAGAUCAACUGUUCAUUUAUGCAGUUUAUGCUUUAUUUAUAGGUAGCAUAACUGUUACCUUUUUGUUUACAGUUCUGCAUAUAUAAUAUGACAAACCUAGGAGACUUUGCUGUAAGAGAAUUAAUCAUGUUUUUGUUUUCUUUUCUCAGGUCCGGUCAGGACCCACCACCCUUCCCUGUUCACCCACAGUUUAUACUUAUUCUUAGAAAACCAACGGCUCUUUUAAGAGCCACUUCAAUAGACCCUUUUACAGCCCACGUGAUCAAAUAGCCUGCGUGCGCAUUUUGGCAACGGAAGUGAUGUUAUUUCCCAGUGGUUCUAACGUGUAAGCAACUCAGAAAGUUUAUUAAAACGAUUUCCCCACAUCAAAACGUCUGGUUGUAGCAUUUGGUUGCACUAAUAUAAUAUAUGUUUAGUAUUUGGCCAUCUUCUAACGUCUUCUAUCCACUCCACUAUAGUACACGGAUUUGGUAACUGUGUAGAAGAUAAGUCAACUUUUUAAACUAACUUUCUCUGUCUGUGUUGCUUCACUGCUGAUUCUUGCCGUGCUUCCGUUGCCAAACUGCAUGCGCAUACGUUGCCACGUCAUCAUUGUGUACAAACAGUAAAAGGGUCACUCACUCACUCACUCUUUCGCAAGCUUCUCUGUUUUCAAGUAUUGUAAUUUUAUUCAUUUUACUCUCUCUCUCACUGUCCAAAACACUUAUCCUAUGCCUCUUUGUCUGACCAAUGUAGUAUUGUUGAAAUGGCUGCUGAGCAAGACAGAGGGAGAGCAAAGGGUGUUAUUUUCAUAGCAGACAUGCUUCUUGCUCAAAUCAAGGCAGAGGAACCCAAGGGCAAAGCAACAGCCAUUAAAGGGAGUACAUUUAAUGUCAGAUAGGUGGAGAAAAUGCUGAAGGAGGUCCACUACUAAAAAGAAGCAGAAGUGAAGAGAUACAAAGCUUCAGCUACAGUCUGUUUAUUGCCUACAGUGAGACCUCCACAUUUCUGCACUUGUGAUCAUGCAAACAUCCAGUGUAGGGCACUUCACCUGCCCGGCAUGUACACCCAACAAUGCUUGCUCUUUGUGCAGAUGGCAACAGAAAAACCUACAGAUUCCGUCUGUCAAAAGAAAGGAGCUUCAAGCAGCCACAAACGGAGAGUUCUUUUGAACAGAUAUUGCUUGCAAGUAUUGGCCAUACCUUGAGAAGGCGUCAGUCUCCAUGUUGGAACUCAGACCUUUACUGCAGAUGAGACCUUUCCUUUCUGUCAUGCAUGCCAAGGCUCAUUCAACCAAGUGUCAGGUGUCACACAUUUGUUAGAUAAUCUGGCAAAAAUCAGGAAGGUGCUGGUACAACUGCAGUUGAGGAGGUCGAAAUGGUCAACAGCUACCUGUCUCGUUGUGGCCUCACAACCAACCAGGAAUGACAUGCUAACUGUCCAUGCUAUUGGGUGGAACCAACGGAAGCAAGAAGGCCUUCAGCAUUAUCCAGCAGAUACAUCAAGAAAGGCUGAGUCUCAGAGACGGGAAGAUUUGAGCAGUGAACUGGGGUGUCCUGAGAACAUUGUGAAUCAGUGGGUACAAGAUGUCAGACAAAAGGCUACUGAUGGAUUUGGUAGGUACCAGAUGUGAUGACCUACAUAACCUUCAGAAAUUAAUUGAACAAAUGUUUCUUAGUCUUCAUCGAAAAGCCAGCCUUUAUAAUCACACUGAAUCCAGCAACACCCUCACCAAGAAGAUUUUUUUGAUGUAUACAUGUCAAAAGUGCGCCUUCAAGAAGCAAAGAUCAUUGUGAUGAGGGAGAUGAGACACCACUGCACCGCACCUAUCUCAGAAGCCUGGCUAGGAACAUCAGGAAAAUGAUUUCAGAAAUGUCUUCAGGCAAAAACAGUGGGAGUAUAAGUGAAGAGUGUCAUUGCUGGCUACUGUGUCGUCUUCAGAAAAGGCUUGCAGAUGUAGAGAAGAAGUUCCAAGUUUGCUCAAGUUACAGCCAGGCUUUAGGACAGUGUUCUUCACUCCCAACCAUGGAGCGCCGGUGUCCUGCA